CAGCCGUAAACUAUGCUCGCUAGGUGUCAGGGACGGUGCGACCGUUUCUGGUGCCGCAGGGAAGCCGUGAAGCGAGCCACCUGGGAAGUACGGUCGCAAGGCUGAAACUUAAAGGAAUUGGCGGGGGAGCACUACAACGGGUGGAGCCUGCGGUUUAAUUGGACUCAACGCCGGAAACUCACCGGGGGCGACAGCAAUAUGUAGGUCAAGCUGAAGACUUUGCCGGAUUAGCUGAGAGGAGGUGCAUGGCGUAGUCGUGU
rnacentral:rRNA from 1 species